UACGGAGGGUGCAAGCGUUAAUCGGAUUUAUUGGGCGUAAAGGGCGCGUAGGCGGAAAGGCCAGUCAGAUGUGAAAUCCCGGAGCUUAACUUCGGAACAGCAUUUGAAACUACCUUUCUAGAGGAUAGGCGGAGAAAACGGAAUUCCACAAGUAGCGGUGAAAUGCGUAGAUAUGUGGAAGAACACCUGUGGCGAAAGCGGUUUUCUAGCUUAUUCCUGACGCUGAAGCGCGAAAGCAAGGGGAGCAAACAGG
rnacentral:rRNA from 1 species